GAUGAACGCUGGCGGCGUGCCUAAUACAUGCAAGUCGAGCGAACGGACGAGAAGCUUGCUUCUCUGAUGUUAGCGGCGGACGGGUGAGUAACACGUGGAUAACCUACCUAUAAGACUGGGAUAACUUCGGGAAACCGGAGCUAAUACCGGAUAAUAUUUUGAACCGCAUGGUUCAAAAGUGAAAGACGGUCUUGCUGUCACUUAUAGAUGGAUCCGCGCUGCAUUAGCUAGUUGGUAAGGUAACGGCUUACCAAGGCAACGAUGCAUAGCCGACCUGAGAGGGUGAUCGGCCACACUGGAACUGAGACACGGUCCAGACUCCUACGGGAGGCAGCAGUAGGGAAUCGUCCGCAAUGGGCGAAAGCCUGACGGAGCAACGCCGCGUGAGUGAUGAAGGUCUUCGGAUCGUAAAACUCUGUUAUUAGGGAAGAACAUAUGUGUAAGUAACUGUGCACAUCUUGACGGUACCUAAUCAGAAAGCCACGGCGAACUACGU
rnacentral:rRNA from 1 species